GCCUUCGUGGUGUAGUGGUCAGCACGCUCGACGCGUAUUCGAGAGGUCCGUGGUUCGAGUCCCGGCGAGAGCA
rnacentral:tRNA from 1 species